UACGUAGGGCGCAAGCGUUGUCCGGAAUUAUUGGGCGUAAAGAGCUCGUAGGCGGCCUGUUGCGUCCGCUGUGAAAUCCCGGGGCUCAACCCCGGGCCUGCAGUGGAUACGGGCUGGCUGGAGGCAGGCAGGGGAGAACGGAAUUCCUGGUGUAGCGGUGAAAUGCGCAGAUAUCAGGAGGAACACCGGUGGCGAAGGCGGUUCUCUGGGCCUGUUCUGACGCUGAGGAGCGAAAGCGUGGGGAGCGAACAGG
rnacentral:rRNA from 1 species